rnacentral:rRNA from 1 species
CACUGAAGUUCCCAACGCUCUUCGGGCCGCGGGACGGAUGUGAUGCGGUGAUGAAACCGAUCGGAUUCACACUCGGAGUGGCGAACGGGUGAGUAACGCGUGAAUAACCACCCCUUAGGUGGGGGAUAACCUUGCGAAAGCUUGGCUAAUCCUCCAUAUUUGUUGUUCCACAUAAGUGGAAUAAUGAAAGAUCCCUUGCGGAUCGCCAAAGGACGGGUUCGCGCCCCAUUAGCUAGCUGGUGAGGUAAAUGCUCACCAGGGCAAUGAUGGGUAGCUGGUCUUAGUGGACGAUCAGCCACACUGGGACUGAGACACGGCCCAGACUCCUACGGGAGGCUGCAGUGGGGAAUCUUGCACAAUGGUCGCAAGGCUGAUGCAGCGACGCCGCGUGGAGGAUGAAGGCCCUCGGGUCGUAAACUCCUACUCACAGGGAAGAAUAAGGACAUCAGGUAAUGGGUGUCCGAUGACAUUACCUGUGAAAUGAGCCCCGGCUAACUACGUGCCAGCAGCCGCGGUAAUACGUAGGGGGCAAGCGUUGUCCGGAAUCACUGGGCGUACAGGGAGCGCAGGCGGGCCGGUAGGUCUGAUGUGAAAGCCCCAGGCUUAACCUGGGAAGCGCAUUGGAAACCCCCGGUCUUGAGGACCAGAGAGGCAGGCGCAAUUCGCAGUGUAGCGGUGAAAUGCGUAGAUAUUGCGAGGAACACCCGUGGCGAAAGCGGCCUGCUGGAUGGUUCCUGACGCUGAGGCUCGAAAGCGUGGGUAGCCAACGGGAUUAGAUACCCCGGUAGUCUACGCUGUAAACGAUGGGCAUUAGGUGUGACAGCAAUAGCGCUGUCGUGCCGCAGCUAACGCAUUAAAUGCCCCGCCUGGGGAGUACGGCCGCAAGGCUGAAACUCAAAGGAAUUGACGGGGGCCCGCACAACCGGUGGAGCACGUGGUUUAAUUGGAUGCAAAGCCAAGAACCUUACCAGGCUUUGACAUGUCAGCCAGUAGGGACCUUGAAAGAGGACCCGAGUCCUGCUUGCAGGACAACUGUCACAGGUGGUGCAUGGCUGUCGUCAGCUCGUGCCGUGAGGUGUUGGGUUAAGUCCCGCAACGAGCGAAACCCCUGUCCUUAGUUGCCAGCAUUGAGUUGGGGACUCUAAGGACACUGCCGGCGAAAAGCCGGAGGAAGGUGGGGACGACGUCAAGUCCCUAUGCCCCUUAUGGCCUGGGCUACACACGUGCUACAAUGGAUGACACAGAGGGUAGCAACACUGCGAAGUGAAGCGAAUCCCACAAAGUCGUUCUCAGUUCGGAUUGCAGUCUGCAACUCGACUGCAUGAAGACGGAAUCGGUAGUAAUCGCGGAUCAGCAAUGCCGCGGUGAAUACGUUCUCGGGCCUUGUACACACCGCCCGUCACACCACAAAAGUCGGCAACACCCGAAGUCGGCGACUCGUAAUAGAACCGCCGAAGGUGGGCCCGGCGAUUGAGUA